GAUGAACGCUGGCGGCGUGCUUAACACAUGCAAGUCGAACGGAAAGGCUCCUGCUUGCAGGGGUACUCGAGUGGCGAACGGGUGAGUAACACGUGGGUGAUCUGCCCAGCACCUCGGGAUAAGCCUGGGAAACUGGGUCUAAUACCGGAUAGGACGAUGGUUUGGAUGCCAUUGUGGAAAGUUUUUUCGGUGUGGGAUGAGCUCGCGGCCUAUCAGCUUGUUGGUGGGGUAAUGGCCUACCAAGGCGUCGACGGGUAGCCGGCCUGAGAGGGUGUACGGCCACAUUGGGACUGAGAUACGGCCCAGACUCCUACGGGAGGCAGCAGUGGGGAAUAUUGCACAAUGGGCGCAAGCCUGAUGCAGCGACGCCGCGUGGGGGAUGACGGCCUUCGGGUUGUAAACUCCUUUCGCUAGGGACGAAGCGCAAGUGACGGUACCUGGAGAAGAAGCACCGGCUAACUACGUG
rnacentral:rRNA from 1 species